rnacentral:rRNA from 2 species
UGCAAGUCGAGCGAAUCGAUGGGAGCUUGCUCCCUGAGAUUAGCGGCGGACGGGUGAGUAACACGUGGGCAACCUGCCUAUAAGACUGGGAUAACUUCGGGAAACCGGAGCUAAUACCGGAUACGUUCUUUUCUCGCAUGAGAGAAGAUGGAAAGACGGUUUACGCUGUCACUUAUAGAUGGGCCCGCGGCGCAUUAGCUAGUUGGUGAGGUAAUGGCUCACCAAGGCGACGAUGCGUAGCCGACCUGAGAGGGUGAUCGGCCACACUGGGACUGAGACACGGCCCAGACUCCUACGGGAGGCAGCAGUAGGGAAUCUUCCGCAAUGGACGAAAGUCUGACGGAGCAACGCCGCGUGAACGAAGAAGGCCUUCGGGUCGUAAAGUUCUGUUGUUAGGGAAGAACAAGUACCAGAGUAACUGCUGGUACCUUGACGGUACCUAACCAGAAAGCCACGGCUAACUACGUGCCAGCAGCCGCGGUAAUACGUAGGUGGCAAGCGUUGUCCGGAAUUAUUGGGCGUAAAGCGCGCGCAGGUGGUUCCUUAAGUCUGAUGUGAAAGCCCACGGCUCAACCGUGGAGGGUCAUUGGAAACUGGGGAACUUGAGUGCAGAAGAGGAAAGUGGAAUUCCAAGUGUAGCGGUGAAAUGCGUAGAGAUUUGGAGGAACACCAGUGGCGAAGGCGACUUUCUGGUCUGUAACUGACACUGAGGCGCG